UACGGAGGGGGCAAGCGUUAUUCGGAAUCAUUGGGCGUAAAGGGCGCGUAGGCGGCCUGGCAAGUCAAAGGUGAAAUCCCUCGGCCCAACCGAGGAACUGCCUUUGAAACUGCAAGCUUGAGGCCGGGAGAGGGUAGCGGAAUUCCCAGUGUAGCGGUGAAAUGCGUAGAUAUUGGGAGGAACACCGAUUGCGAAGGCAGCUCGCUGGGACGUUACUGACGCUGAGACGCGAAAGCUAGGGUAGCAAACGGG
rnacentral:rRNA from 1 species